AUUUUUUAUGUUUUUAGAUAUUUAUGUUUUUGAAUGUUUUAUUCAAAUAAUAUAAAAAAUAAAAUAUAUAUUGACAUGGAUUAAACAAAGAUAUAUAUUAUUCUAUGUUGUAUAAACAAAUUGGCAAAAUAGAGAUGGAAGAUAAAAAUAUGGUCAAAGUAAUAAGAGUCUAUGGUGAAUGCCUAGGAGCUUUAAGGCGAAGAAGGUCGUGGUAAGCUGCGAAAAGCUUGGGGGAGAAGCAAACAUUUAUUGAUCCCAAGAUUACCGAAUGGAGUAAUCCAUGCAUAUGCAGAGA
rnacentral:misc_RNA from 1 species